rnacentral:tRNA from 1 species
CAAAAUGUAGCUUAACCAAAGCAUCUCGCUUACACCGAGAAAAUGUCUGUUAAAAUCAGAUCAUUUUGAG